CCGAAACCCGAUACGAUGUGCCAGUUCCGGUCAUGGAGUCCUCCAUCUCAGACGAUGCCGACGUUAGUGUCUUCUGCGACGAAGAACCCGUAGUGGUUUAUGCGCAGGUAGAAGCUGGUACCUCCCGUGGCAAGUCCAAGUUGUUUGACAACCAAGGGUUUAGUUAUACAAUUAAGACAGAGAAGAAAACUACGAUUUGGAGGUGUUCCAAAAGAAGCGGACCAACACGAUGUCCGGCAACAGUAAUCCAAGAUGGUGAUACAUACCGACCAGGCUUAAAGAACCAUCUUCACCCAGCAGAACCCGGUAUACACACGGCUACCAAGAUAAAAGUUACAGCAAAGCAUGAAGCCAAAGGAAAUGUUUUUACCAAGUCAUGUUCCUCAAUAGCGGAGAGAGUUUAAUCCAGUGUCGGUUCUGCAGAAGAACCCAUUCAUAGCAGACCACCCAUGGCAGCACUUGUAAGGUCGCUACAAAGAACCCGACAGACUCUGCGACCAAAAGAUCCCACUGACGUGUCGUCAAGCCUUGACGAAGAUUUCAUCGAUCAUAGUGCACCGGGAUUUUAUCAAAAAAGAGUAAAAGUUGGGGAAAGGCGCCAUCACAUUUUUUGUACUGAUAGACAGAUGCAACUACUCGCACGCGCAAAAACUUGGUAUAUGGAUGCAACCUUUUGGGUGGUGAACAAGCCAUGGUCUCAGCUGUUUUCCAUCCACGCCUUCAUUAAGACUGGAGAGACCACCCGCAGUUACCAUUGGUGUUUUGUGUAAUGUCGGGUAAAAGCCAAGACGACUAUUAUAAGGUAAAUAGCACUUACUGAUUGAAUUACUAU